UGGAAAGCAACAGAACAAAAACAAAAUCAAUCCCUUUGAAAUUUAGUUACAGAAACCUGACUAAUAAAACCAGAAAAGAUCAUUUGUUCUGACUCGUUACAACAAUGACCAUAUUUCAAAAGUACUUAUUAAUUAUAAAGUGCUUUGGAAUGAGACAGACUCACCUCUCAUACUUUAAUAACAGGGCUUUCCCACCUUGUUUUCCUUUCUGCCCAUAGUGCUCAAAUGUAAAAUACGCUUGAGUAUUAAGUUUCCCACUAUAUCUCUCAGAAGCCCCUUUCCAAAGCAAUCUAGAUAAUUAUUUUUGUCAUUACAUUGCCCUAUUGACUUUUCCUUUCUCUUUGCUUUCCUAACUGCCACUUCAGGCUACGUCCACACUACACCGGAUAAAUCCGUAACCAAAGCGUUUUCUCUUCAUUUUUACCAUUUGUCCACACUAAAACGGCGUUUUCAUCCCCCGAAACCGGAGCUUUUCAGAAACGCUCUCCAAAGUGUGUAUUUUUGAAAACACCGGAUUGGCCGGAUCAGUGUGGAUGGGGUAACCGGAGACUUCUGAAAGUGCUGUCAGACAGUAGCGCGCUAUUUCAUUGUUUUCUUGAAUGCAACCUAACAAUUUCAGAACAGAUGGUAACGAGACUGAUGCCAGAAGUGUUAGAAAUGUACUCACCAAAUACUUUGACCCAUAAGUUACUGAAUAAAUAAGUAUACUCACUUUGCCCCGUUUUCUGUCCUUGCUCGUAUGAAGGUGGUUUACUUAUUUAGAACCAUAGAACAUUACAGCACAGAAACAGGCCUUUUGGCCCUUCUUGGCUGUGCCGAACCAUUUUUCUGCCUAGUCCCACUGACCUGCACCUGGGUCAUAUUCCUCCAAACCCCUCUUACCAUAUACCUGUCCAUGAUUUUCUUAAAUGUCAAAAGUGAGCCCACAUUCACCACUUCAUCUGGCAGCUCAUUCCACACUCCCACCACUCCCUGCAUGAAGAAGCCCCCCCCCCAAUGUUCCCUUUAAACUUUUCCCCCUUCACCCUUAACCCAUGAUCUCUGGUUUUUUCCUCCCCUGGCCUCAAUGGAAAAAGCCUGCUUGCAUUCACUCUAUCUAUACCCAUCAUAAUUUUAUACACCUCUAUCAAAUCACCCCUCAUUCUCCUACACUCCAGGGAAUAAAGUCCUAACCUAUUCAACCUUUCUCUGUAACUCAGUGCCUCAAGUCCCGGCAACAUCCUUGUAAACCUUCUCUGCACUCUUUCAACCUUAUUAAUAUCCUUCCUGUAAUUAGAUGACCAAAACUGCACUCAGUACUCCAAAUUCGGUCUCACCAAUGCCUUAUACAACCUUACCAUUACAUUCCAACUCUUAUACUCAAUACUUUGAUUUAUAAAGGCCAAUAUACCAAAAGCUUUCUUUACAACCCUAUCUACUUGUGAAGCCACUUUUAGGGAAUUAUGUACCUGUACUCCCAGAUCCCUCUGUUCUACUGCACUUCUCAGUGUCCUACCAUUUACCUUGUAUGUUCUACCUUGGUGUGACCUUCCAAAGUGCAAUACCUCACACUUGUCCGCAUUAAACUCCAUCUGCCAUUUUUCAGCCCAUUCCUCCAACUGGCUUUGAAAACCUUCCUCAUUGUCCACUAUACCUCCAAUCUUUGUAUCAUCAGCAAAUUUGCUGAUCCAAUUUGCCACAUUAUCAUCCAGAUCAUUGAUAUACAUGACAAAUAACAAUGGACCCAGCACUGAUCCCUGUGGCACACCACUAGUCACAGGCCUCCACUCAGAGUAGCAAUCCUCCACUACCACUCUCUGGCUUCUUCCAUUGAGCCAAUGUCUAAUCCAAUUUACUACCUCUCCAUGUAUACCUAGUGACUGAAUCUUCCUAACUAACCUCCCAUGCAGGACCUUGUCAAAGGCCUUAAUGAAGUCCAUGUAUACAACAUCCACUGCCUUCCAUCUCCACCUAAACUUUUCCCCCCAAUUAAAUCCUCAUGUUCCCAUUUCCCUGAUAAAUAGCUUUAAAUCCUCCACAACAGCAUUAGCAAAUCAAGUGACCCAGUCCACUAAAAUGGCAUCUAUCUGGUUUGCUGAGACUCAACCUCAUUCAGGGAAAGCUCCUAUUCCUCAGAAAUUUAAAUCCCUCCCUCCUUCAUUCAUUCUUUUCAACUAUGCACCUGUUCUACCUUCGCAUUCCUAUACUCAUGAAAACAUAGCACAUGUUUAAUUAUCUUUACAGUCCUGCUUUCUAACCUCUGGUUGCAGAAUAUCAGCACACUAUCUACCUUUAUAGUGUGUUUCUUUACGUUGACUCUACCUGCCUACACUGGCUCCACAGAAUCUCCUUUCUUUCCCAUCUUUCUUUCUACAUGGAUAACAACUGAAUCUAAACUUCCAAAUAAGAUAUUCUUAUCUUGGUUAGUGAUACAUCCUUCAGGACUCAUGCUUGCAACUACAGAGAAUGCUAUCAAUACCCAGAGCUAAACUGUCUCCAACUACCACUAAAUUCUUUUUCACUCGUCCAAUGCGAAGCACCCCCCCCCCCCAUACAACAUAUUGACAAUUUGCUCAUCCACCAUUCAGUGUCUGAUCUCAUCCACACAGGCUGCAAUAAUCCUAUACACCUACAUUAUGGACAAGUGCAAGGACAGACUCCUGAAACCCUAACCUCUGGAUUCUCAUGCCUACCUCCCACAUCCUCCUUUACCUUUUGAUUGACCAAAUGCAUAGUACUUAAUGUAAGAUGUGUGACUGGAACAUAAUUUCCUCUUCGCUGAUGCACCACAAUGUCUAUAACUUGGAUUCUAGCUCAGACUGGGAACUGAAGUUCCUUGAACUAUGGAAACUUACUGGAAACAUGGUAUACAAGAAUGCCAAUAGUUUCCAUUAACUCACAUGUGGCACCAUAUUAGAUUGAGGAGAAUGAUAAGGCAAUAAUCAACCAAAUUGGAGUAUGGAAGGCAUUUCCCACCUUCUCAAAGAUCUACAGAGCAGAAUGUUGAGUCCAUCUGGGUAGAGAUUAAGAAAAGUAAAGGGAAAAAAAUCACUGGUGGGAGUUGUCUAUAGGCCACCUAAUAAAAAUAUUGCAGUGGCAGAGGCGACUAACCAAGAAAUAACUGAGGCUUGUAAGAACAGAACGGCAGUUGUCAUGGGAGAUCUUAAAUUCCACAUUGAUUGGGUGAAUCAGGUUGGUCAAGGAAGUCUUGAGGAGGACUUCAUAGAACGCAUCCGUGAUAGCUUUCUUGAGCAGCAUGUUAGUGAACCUACAAGGGAAAAUGCUACCUUAGAUCUAGUCUUGUGCAAUGAGACAGGUAAGAUUAACGAUCUUGCAGUCAGGGAUCCUCUUGGAAAGAGUGAUCAUAGUAUGAUUGAAUUUCGCAUACAGAUGGAGGAUGAAAUAGAUCGAAAACUAGUGUAUUAUGCUUGAAUGAGGGAGACUACAACAGGAAGAGGGAGGAGUUGGCUAAUGUGGAUUGGGAGCACAGGCUAUUUGGCAGGACUGUUGAGAAACAGUGGAAUACUUUCAAAGAGAUUUUUCAUAGUGCUCAAUAAAAGUAUAUUCAUCAAAAGUAAGUACAGUAAGUGUGGGGAGAGCUAGCCUUGGAUAACUAAGGAAAUAAAAGAUAGUAUCAAAUUAAAAGCUCAUGUGUACAGAGUCGCAAAGAGUAGUGGGAGACUGGAGGAUUGGAAAAACUUUAAAAAGCAUCAAAGAACAACUAAACAAGAAAUAAGGAAAGGGAAGAUAGAGUAUGAAAUUAAAUUAGCACAAAAUAUAAAAACAGGUAGCAAAAGUUUUUAUAAACAUAUAAAGCAGAAGAGGGUGGCUAAAGUCAACGUAGGUCCCUUGGAAGACGAGAAAGGGAAAUUGGUACUGGGUGAUAAGGAAAUGGCUGAGGCAUUGAACAACUAUUUUGUGACGGUCUUCACGGUGGAGGACAUGUCUAAUAGCCAAAAGAUGAUGUUAUGGACGAAAUGGGAGAUGAGGAUCUCAAUAAAAACACUGUCACUAAAGAGAUAGUGAUGAGCAAACUAGAGAGCCUGAAGGUAGAUAAUUCCCCUGGUGCUGAUGGGAUGCAACCCAGGGUGCUGAGGGAAUUGGAAGAGGUUAUAGAAGAUGCGUUGGUAAUCAUUUACCAAAAUUCUCUAGACUCUGGGCAGGUCCCGGCGGAUUAGAAGACAGCAAAUGUCACACCACUUUUAAAAAAGGAUGUAGGCAAAAGACAGGCAACUAUAGGCCAGUUAGCUUAGCAUCUGUAGUUGGAAAAAUGCUUGAAGCUGUCAUUAAGGAAGAAAUAGCAAAACAUUUAGAAAGGAGUGGUUCCAUUAGACAGACACAGCAUGGAUUCAGAAAGGGCAGGUCCUGUUUGACAAACUUACUGGAGUUCUUUGAGGACAUAAUGAGUGCAGUGAGUACAGGGGAACGGGUGGUUGUUGUAUACUUGGAUUUUCAGAAGGCGUUUGAUAAGGUGCUGCACAAGAAGCUUAUAAAUAAUAUACGGAUGCAUGGAGUCGGAGGAAGUGUAUUGGCAUAGAUAGUGGAUUGGUUAACCAAUAGAAAGCAGAGAGUUGGUAUAAAUGGGUGUUUCUCCAGUUGGCAGUCAGUGGUGAAUGGGGUGCUGCAGGGGUCGGUGCUGGGCCCUCAGCUGCUUACCAUUUACAUUGAUGAUUUGCAAGAGGGGAACUGAGUGUAACGUAGCAAAAUUUGCUGAUGACACUAAACUGAGUGGAAAAGCGAAUUGUACAGAGGAUGUGGAGAGUUUGCAGAGGUAUACAGAUAGGUUAAGUGAGUGGGCCAAGGUCUGGCAGAUGGAAUACAACGUUGGUAAAUGUGAGAUCAUCCACUUUGGAAGGAAUAAUAGAAGAGCAGAUUAUUACUUAAACAGUGAAAGAUUGCGGCAUGCUGUUGUGCAGAGGGACUAGGGAGUGCUUGUGCAUGAAUCGCAAAAAGUUGGCUUGCAGGUGCAACAGGUAUUAAGAAAGCAAACAGAAUGUUGGCCUUCAUUGCUAGAAGGAUUGAAUUCAAGAGCAGGGAGGUAAUGCUGCAACUAUACAGGGUACUGGUGAGACCGCAACUGGAGUAGUGUGUGCAGGUCUGGUCUCCAUACUUGAGUUAUGUCCUUCCUCAAGUAAGGCUUUAGAGGCAGUGCAGAGGAGGUUCACUAGGUUAAUUCCAGAGAUGAAGGGGUUAACUUAUGAGGAGAGAUUGAGACACCUGGGACUAUGUGGCCUCCGUUGGUUAUGGUCGACCAUGGGUACUGCGCAUCUGGUAGUCACUGGUUUGUCAAGCAGCAUCGACUGUGGCUAUUGAGGCCGAUUCUGGAAUGGUAGGCUCUGCCACAGUUGCUGCAUGUGUAGUCUUAAUCGUGGAAUUGUUGUCCGCUGUCCGCUGUGCUCUCCGUUUAGCUCUCUGCUCUUCAAACUGACUCAGGAUCAUGCGCCUUGCUCUAGGUGUUGCUGAAGAGGACCGCCAUUUGUUGCAGUCAUCUGCUGUACCCUCCCAGCACUCUGUGUUGAUUUUUAAGGCUUUCAUGCCGCGCUUGCAGAGGUCCUUGAAGCAAAGCUAGGGUCUACCAACGUUCCUCUUGCCUGUUGCUACUUCUCCAUAGAGGAUGUCCUUCAUACAACAGAUGUGGCCCAGUCAGCACAGUCUGCAUUGUCUUAAAAGCGUGAACAUUGUGGGAUGUCCAGUGCGGGGGAGGACCUCAGAGUUUGGGACUUUGUCUCUCCAGGUGAUGCCAAGGAUGCAGCGAAGGCUGUGCAGGUGCAGCCCUGUAAACAGGUCCUGUUUGGAGUAGAUGGUCCAAGUCUCGCUACCAUACAGGAGGGUGCUGAUAAUGCAUGCAUUGUACAAGGCAGUCUUGGUCUUUGUAGCGAGUUUCCGAUUCUCUCAGACUCAAGAGGAGAGUCGAGCAAGGAUCGAUGUUGCUUUGUCGAUACGCCUAUUGAUUUCAGCAUUGAGGGAGAGAGUAUCGCUAAUGCUCGACCCCAAGUACGUGAACUCGUGAACCACUUCUAGAUCAUAGAUGGCGCUGAGUUUACAGACAGAUCAGUCAUGAUCUUAUUGAAUGGUGGGACAGGCUCAAUGGGCCAGAUGGCCUACUCCUGCUUCUUAUGUUCUCAAAUUGAAGGCUGACGUGUAACUGAAUAAGAACAAGGUUAGGGGACUGGAUAGUCAGGGGGACAGAAAGGAGAUACUGUGGCAACAAAAGAUUCACCAGGAUAGCGUGUUGCCUCCGGGGUACAGGAAUAUCUGCACUGUAAUGCAGGAUAUUCUCAAGGGGGAGAAUUUACCCUAGGUUAUUGAAGGAGGUGAGAGACAACAUUGCCAGAACCUUGACCAGUAUCUUCAUGUCCUCUCUAGCCACAGGCAAUGUCCUGGAGUACUGCCGAGUUGCUAAUGUUGUUCCUCUAUUUAAAAGGGGAACAAGGGAAAAUACUCGGAACUAUAGACCAAUCUAUAGUUGUACGUCUGUUGUACGGAAAUUGCUGGAGAAAAUUCUUAGGGUUAGGAUAUAUCAGCAUUUGGAAACCCAUGGCCUAAUUAGGGAGAGCCAGCAUGGCUUUGUGCGGGGCAGGUCGUAUCUUACAUAAGAACACAAGAACAUAAGAAAUAAGAGUAGGAGCAGACCAUCCAGCCCAUUGAGCCUGUCCCGCCCUUCAAUAAGAUCAUGGCUAAUCUGUCUGUAAACUCAGCUCUAUCUACCUGCCUUCUCCCCAUAGCCCUUAAUUCCCCUACUAUGUAAAAAUCUAACUAACUAUAUCUUAAAUAUAUUUAGUGAAGAAGCCUCAACUGCUUCCCUGGGCAGAGAAUUCCACAAAUUCACCACUCUCUGGAAAAACAGUUUCUCCUCGUCUCCAUGCUAAAUCUUCUCCCCUGAAUCUUGAGGCAGUGUCCCCUAGUUCUAGUCUCGCCUACCAAUGGGAACAACUUUCCUAUUUCUAUCUUAUCUAUCCCUUUCAAAGUUUUGAUUGUUUCUAUAAGAUCCCCUCUCAUUCUUCUGAAUUCCAGAGAGCACAGUCCCAGGCAACUCAAUCUCUCCUCAUAGGUUAACCCCUUCAUCUCUGGAAUCAACCUGGUGAACCUCCUCUGCACUGCCUCCAAAGCCAACUUGAUUGAGUUUUUUGACAAGCUGAUGAGAGAGAUUGAAGAGGGUAUGGCAGUGGAUGCUGUCUACAUGGAGUUCAGGAAGGCAUUUCACCAAGUCCCUCAUGGGAGGCUGAUCUGGAAGAUUAAUAUGCACUGGAUUCACAGCAAAUUAGCUGUUUAGAUUCAGAAUUUGUUUGCACAUAGAACUCAGAGGGUAGUGGUUAAAGCGACUUAUUCAAGUUGAAGGCUUUUUAACGUGGUGUUCUGCAGGGAUCAGUGCUGGGACCCCUGCUGUUUGUGAUGUCUAUAAAUGACCUGAAUGAAAAUGUAAGUGGGUGGGUUAGUAAGUUUGUGGAUGAUACAAGAUUGGGGGAGUUGUGGAUAGAGUAGAAAACAAUACAGCAUGUUAUAGAACAGUUGCAGAUAAAGCUGAGAAAUGGCAGAUGGAGUUUAAACCAGAUAAAUGUAAGGUGUUGUACCUUGGUAGGUCAAAUGCAAGGAGACAGUACAUUGUUUCAGUUUUGCUGGGCAGAGAGAUCUUGGGAUCCAAGUUCAUGGCUCCCUCAAAGUGGCUACAUAGGUUGAUAAGGUGGUUAAGAAGGCUUAUGGAAUGCUUGCUUUUAUUAGUUGAGGCACUGUUGAGUGUGUUGCAGCCAUCAAAUUCUAAAUUUGUGUAUAUUUACAAAAUACAAUUAAGUUGGUCAGUAAACUUUUGUCAGUUUAAAAAAAAGGUUCACGUGAAUUAACAUAUCACAGAUUUUUGUUUUUAUUGCAUUUUGGAAAAUAUCCCAACUUUUUUGGAAAUGGGGUUUGUAUUUCUUGCACAACCCUUGCAUUAAAAGCCAGCUUGUUGUAUGUCAGGCUCAAGGGAAAGAGGGGUUAAAUGAUAUUUAGUUUCACUGUCCCACCUCAAAACUUUUUCUUGCAGUCUUUGUCCUCAAAUUCAUCAACUUCCCCUUGCACUCAAUAUUUCUCCUUAUUCAAAUUUUUUUCCUUUGUCAACACUAGUUGCAUGUCUAAAAUUUUCUUACUUUACUUUCUCUUCUUAUCCUAGCCUCAAACCAUGUUGCCUUAAAAUUAACUUUUCCUUAAAUCCUGUGUUGUCCAUUUACUUUUUGUUUGGCUAAACUCCACAAACAACCAAACUGUCUUCCAACACUCACCAUCUAGGCUAAUACACAACGAAUGUUAACUUGGGUAAAUUAUUUACAAGUGACAUUGUAGCUUUAUGUAAGUCAGUACUUUCAGGAAAGCAGACAGCAAUUUGAAAUGUUAGAUCGAACUACAAAAAUUCCUUGCUGGAGGAACUCAGCCGGUCGAACAACAUCUGUGGAAACGAGCAGUCAAUGUUUUGGGCCAAGACCCUUCGUCAGGACUCAGUAAAAGCUCAGCACUGAAUGAUCGCUGUUUUAUGCCAAGUCCUCACUUGAUACAUGGAGGACCAUCAGGACUAUUUCAAAUGGACUAACUGCCAGAUGUUUAAGGAGGCCGCCACAAAAGAAGACACAGACUUCAAGGAAUAUGCCUCAUCUGUCAUUGGCUAGAUCACAAACCAACCUAUACAUGGUUAGCUGAUUCAGCCAUAGGAGACAUCACGGCCAACUCUAUCUGCUUCUACUGGAUGGUUUCCCAAAGGCAUCAUUGGACCAGGAUCAGAAGGGGAAACCCUGGCUAAUGUUUCCUUUCCAAAGCCAAGAGGUAUUGAGACCAACAGUACUAUUGACUGCUACCCAGUUUAGAACAUCAAAUGACAUAGAUCUGGGCUCAAACCCAAUGCUACAUGGAGUUUAUUGCUCCAACACAGCAUCAAAACUAUUUAUUGGACUUAGCCUAUAGACUUCAAGAUAAAACAAGAGAAAAUCUGUAGAUGCUGGAAAUCCAAGCAACACACACAAAACGCUGAAGAAACUCAGUAGGCCAGGCAGCAUCCAUGGAAAAAAAGUACAGUCGAUAUUUCAGGCUGCAAUCCUUCAGCAGGACUGGAGAAAAAGUGAUGAGGAGUGAAGAGUAAGAUGUUGGGGGGAGGGAAGGAAGAAAUACAAGGCAAUAAGUGAAACCAGGAGAGGAGAGGGGUGAAGUAAAGAGCUGGGGAGACAAUAGGUGGGAAAGAAAAAGGGCUGGAGAAGGGGGUAUCUGAUAGGAGAGGACUAAAGGCCAUGGAAGAAAGGGAAGGGGAGGAGCACCAGAGGAGGGUGAUGGACAGGUAAGCAGAUAAGGUGAGGGGGGAAAUGGGAAUGGGAAAUGGUGAGGGAGGGCAUUACCAGAAAUCCGAGAAACCAACGUUCAAGCCAUCAGGUUGGAAGCUACCCAGACAGAAUAAAGGUGUUGCCAUGGACUGACAUCGGAAUGGGAAUGGAUGUGAAAUUAAAAUGGGUGUUUUGAAAUUAAAUCAUCUUACUUUACUUUAAAUCCCCUAUUGUCCACACUAAAUAUUUGC